UACGGGGGGGGCAAGCGUUGUUCGGAAUUACUGGGCGUAAAGGGCGCGUAGGCGGCCGUUUAAGUCGGGGGUGAAAGCCUGUGGCUCAACCACAGAAUUGCCUUCGAUACUGGACGGCUUGAGACCGGAAGAGGUAAGUGGAACUGCGAGUGUAGAGGUGAAAUUCGUAGAUAUUCGCAAGAACACCAGUGGCGAAGGCGGCUUACUGGUCCGGUUCUGACGCUGAGGCGCGAAAGCGUGGGGAGCAAACAGG
rnacentral:rRNA from 1 species